CCCAACGUCCUCUGUCUCUAGUGCUCCCAAAGAAUUUUCUGUAUAUGGAGCAAAGAAUUUAGAAGAUGAGGAAACUCAUUUGGGAACUUUCCAAUACGAUGAAGAUGGAGACCAAAUACAGACCUUCAAACUUCCUGCCGAUAAAGUUGGUUCCUUCCGUCAUGUGACUCUAAAGGUGAACAGCAACUGGGGUCAUCCGGACUACACCUGCCUCUAUAACUUUAGAGUGCAUGGAGAAAUUGCAAAAUGACGAGGAGAACAAAGAGAGAUGGAUGAGAUAUGGAGAAAACUAUUUUUUUACCCUUUGAUAUAUCUCUUUUGUAUAU